GAUGAACGCUGGCGGCGUGCCUAAUACAUGCAAGUCGAGCGAACGGACGAGAAGCUUGCUUCUCUGAUGUUAGCGGCGGACGGGUGAGUAACACGUGGAUAACCUACCUAUAAGACUGGGAUAACUUCGGGAAACCGGAGCUAAUACCGGAUAAUAUUUUGAACCGCAUGGUUCAAAAGUGAAAGACGGUCUUGCUGUCACUUAUAGAUGGAUCCGCGCUGCAUUAGCUAGUUGGUAAGGUAACGGCUUACCAAGGCAACGAUGCAUAGCCGACCUGAGAGGGUGAUCGGCCACACUGGAACUGAGACACGGUCCAGACUCCUACGGGAGGCAGCAGUAGGGAAUCUUCCGCAAUGGGCGAAAGCCUGACGGAGCAACGCCGCGUGAGUGAUGAAGGUCUUCGGAUCGUAAAACUCUGUUAUUAGGGAAGAACAUAUGUGUAAGUAACUGUGCACAUCUUGACGGUACCUAAUCAGAAAGCCACGGCUAACUACGUGCCAGCAGCCGCGGUAAUACGUAGGUGGCAAGCGUUAUCCGGAAUUAUUGGGCGUAAAGCGCGCGUAGGCGGUUUUUUAAGUCUGAUGUGAAAGCCCACGGCUCAACCGUGGAGGGUCAUUGGAAACUGGAAAACUUGGGUGCAGAAGAGGAAAGUGGAAUUCCAUGUGUAGCGGUGAAAUGCGCAGAGAUAUGGAGGAACACCAGUGGCGAAGGCGACUUUCUGGUCUGUAACUGACGCUGAUGUGCGAAAGCGUGGGGAUCAAACAGGAUUAGAUACCCUGGUAGUCCACGCCGUAAACGAUGAGUGCUAAGUGUUAGGGGGUUUCCGCCCCUUAGUGCUGCAGCUAACGCAUUAAGCACUCCGCCUGGGGAGUACGACCGCAAGGUUGAAACUCAAAGGAAUUGACGGGGACCCGCACAAGCGGUGGAGCAUGUGGUUUAAUUCGAAGCAACGCGAAGAACCUUACCAAAUCUUGACAUCCUUUGACAACUCUAGAGAUAGAGCCUUCCCCUUCGGGGGACAAAGUGACAGGUGGUGCAUGGUUGUCGUCAGCUCGUGUCGUGAGAUGUUGGGUUAAGUCCCGCAACGAGCGCAACCCUUAAGCUUAGUUGCCAUCACUAAGUUGGGCACUCUAAGUUGACUGCCGGUGACAAACCGGAGGAAGGUGGGGAUGACGUCAAAUCAUCAUGCCCCUUACGAUUUGGGCUACACACGUGCUACAAUGGACAAUACAAAGGGCAGCGAAACCGCGAGGUCAAGCAAAUCCCAUAAAGUUGUUCUCAGUUCGGAUUGUAGUCUGCAACUCGACUACAUGAAGCUGGAAUCGCUAGUAAUCGUAGAUCAGCAUGCUACGGUGAAUACGUUCCCGGGUCU
rnacentral:rRNA from 1 species